GCCCAUCUUAUAGAUUAUAGUUAUAUAUAACUGCCUAAUUAUGCUCCAACACUGCCUUCAGAUCUUUAUGUGACACAAUUAGCAGCAGCAGUAUCUUCUUUGUCUCCUAUCAUCUCCUAAUCUCACGCAGCGUAGUUUCCUGUGCUCUGUCUUGUCUGGUAAUCAUCAGUGUAUUUCAAACGGAAAAACCCAGGGACACCAAAUUAUCCUCCACGAACAGGGUGUGUUAAAUAAUAUCUGGAGUCAGCGGGGAAAUGUAGCAGCACUGCAGGGAAAAGCUUGUAACUCUUAUUUUGAAGGAUUAAUUGCUCCUGUAUGAGUCAUGGCCGUCCUUCGGAUUCCUGAGAUUAUGAAACAAAGUGGAAACCUCCUGUGGUGAUGACGUCACUCUACUAAUACUGAUUAGGGCUGAGGAGGUCAGCGCUGGAGUUCGUCGCCGUCACUGAUGUCCCGUUAAGUUUCCAUAAAAUGAGUUUUAUGGCUCUGAAGAACUGAGAGAGGUCACGGUGAAGGGCAGCUGCUUUGUGAAUUUCCACUUGACAGAUAAUGAAACAGGAUGUGUCAUCUUUGGAAAGGACUGCUUUCAGGAAAUGAAGGUGCAAACCUUUCAGAAACCUGGGCUCAGAUUUUACAGAUCUCAGGGUUGAAAUGACAAAAGACUCAUCUGUGCUCGCUUUACGUACGAAAAUAUAUCCGUACGUUUUAAACUUAAUCAUCAAAGCCCUCAUACUUCCAUUUGUGUUUGAAUACAUACAUCCACUAGAGGGCGCCACUCAGAUUCUAAAGUUUGACGACAACUAAGAGGCAAAAUCAGACGGUGAUCCGAGAGGAAACACGUCGUGAAACUAAAUUAAUUUUCUUUAAAGUAUGACGUCAUGUUUCGUGUUUUAUACAGUCUAUGGUAUGAAAGUAAAGGCACUCUUAUGGAGUAAGGGUUGUACGAUAACAAAUGUUUCAGGUCCUUUUUUCCUGGAUUUCUGUCCCCUUUGUUUUUUGCGACUCUGGUUUCAGUGGUGUUACACAUUUUGAAUAUCUUUGAAUAUUAAAAUAAAGUCAAUGUUAAACAGUAACGCGAAAUCAGAAACGACCUGAUGUAUUUCUAAGAAUCGCCUCUGCUGGAGGCGUUGGAUGGGGCCACAUGUAAAUUAAAGUUUGUUUAGCGCUGCAACUUUUGCAUGAGUAGCACAAACUGUCCU